UGUGCCAGCAGCCGCGGUAAUACGUAGGGCGCAAGCGUUAUCCGGAUUUAUUGGGCGUAAAGGGCUCGUAGGCGGCUCGUCGCGUCCGGUGUGAAAGUCCAUCGCUUAACGGUGGAUCUGCGCCGGGUACGGGCGGGCUGGAGUGCGGUAGGGGAGACUGGAAUUCCCGGUGUGACGGUGGAAUGUGUAGAUAUCGGGAAGAACACCGAUGGCGAAGGCAGGUCUCUGGGCCGUCACUGACGCUGAGGAGCGAAAGCGUGGGGAGCG
rnacentral:rRNA from 1 species